UUAAACCCAAUGGACAAUUUCACAUUCCACACACUGUAACAACAGACAUUGAAUGUGGUUCAAAGGGGAAAAAAACAAUAAAACACAACAGACACAAUCCAGCAAAAGACCGAAUAACUUGUGCUUCAAAUCAAUGUCUUUUCUCUCUGAUGAUCCUGAAGGCUAAUCCCGUUUCUCUGAAUCCACUGCUAUUUCAGCAGGAAACAUGGGCAGGUCAUACCAGUUUGGAUGAUUUGCAGUAUCCAGCAGAGGGCGUAGCUCCUGCUGGAUACUGGGCUCCUGUAACCCAGGGCUCCUGGGUUACAGCUCGCCAUCUUGUUUCUCACUAGCGGAAUCCAACUCAGCAAUUGACUCGGAAUUUCAAACAGGUUUGGCAUUUUGCCUAACUCAGCUGGUAAAAUUUCUAAUUAAUGUUCAAUAAUUUUGUCAAAUAAGCAUAUUAAAUGAUACCGCUGGCAGAAAAACCUGUAUUUCUAAACAAUGUUUUUUUUUUUUUUCCACUUAUAAAUUUACUUGGAAUAAAGACUGGAAUUUAAUCUGAUUUUCAGCAUUAUUUCUCAAUCAACAAUUUUAGCAGACAGGGAAUACAAAAGAAGAGAAGUUGUCUGAGUCUCAAAUUGACCAAUAUGAGAGUGAAAUUUUAUUUCUCCUGCUUUUAGCCCCUUUUUUAUUUUGAGUGUUGUAUUGAGCUUAAAUUGAAUUCAUAAAAACUCUGGGAAAAAGUUUAUCUGAAAAUGUAGCUUGAAAACAUCCAUAACAGGAAGUAACUUCAUUAGAGCAGUUUUUGUGCACCGCCAAUAUAGGAGGACUAAAAUUGGUAAAAUGAACCUUUACUUUCAAGAGUAUCUAACGAGAAAAAGAAAAAAAAAAUUUAGUGCUGCAUUAAUUAAAGAACCAUAAAUAAAUAAGUUGUGGAAAAGAAAAUACAGAGAAACCAGAACACCAGGUUUCAGUUUAAAAUCUUUUAUUGUCUUUUGAAGUAAUUGCAUUAGCCUACAGAAAGAUUGGUACAGUUUAAAGAGUACCUGUCUUGAGGACAAACAAGUCUGUGGGAAGCUGUACACGAGCGAGAAAGAAGGAAAUGUUGCAUCUGAGUUCAAACAGACCAACAGGAGGACAAGCAGAGAGGAACAGCUUCUGCAUCAUGGCUGGCACAACACAGCCAGCAGGCCUUUGAAGGCUGGAACAACAGCUCUCCCUCUGCAUUCAAUUGCACUUUGGUGUAGAGUAGCUUCAUGUGACUGCUUCACCCAUUACCAUUCAUCAGUUUCUCAAGCUAAUGAGUAGGUGUUAUUAUUACUAUUGUGUUAUUAGUCUUCAAUCUUGCUGAUGAUGACCCACAUUUGAACAGUGUUGCCUUAGAACCAAAGCAGAAAGAUAAGAGUUGAAAGUGAAUCUGAAAAUGUUGCUCCUGACCGCUGGUAAAAACAGAACACCACCAGUGAUGUGAAAAAGCAUCAAUGUUCAGGACAUCGGAAUAAUUUUUUAUAUCAGACAAUCUGAGUAAAUUGUUAAAGCAGCUUCAAAUGAGGAACAGUUUGUGCCACCUUUGGUAGCAACACACUCGUUUUCAUUCAGACACAUUAGAGGGUUUUCCAGCAUGAACAGAUUGUUAAGCACAACCAGAGUCAGGUCCUUACUUUGACUGGGCCUUAUUUUAUUUUAGCUAUUCAGAAGAGGACUUGAUGAUGUGCUUUGGAUCACUGUCCAGCUGCAUAACUUAAGAAUGUCUGUUUCACUACAGAACACAAUUCAUAGUUCAGUCAGAUUAUGGUAAGUGAAUCCCAAGGUCAGGGAUUCUCAUAAAG